CACAAUAUGCAAGCGGGCUGGGAUCCCCGGGAGGGCGUCUAUUCUGCCGUUUCCGCCGCAUCUGCGGUGCUGAAGCGACAGGGCGGGCGUCUUUUCGGCCAGCUUGACUCCAUAUUCACCCAUGUCUUUUGCGUACUACUUGUUUCCUUGGUGGGUUCGCCCACCAACAGGACCAUUCAAACCUUUUUGUAAUUGCAAUCAGCGUCAGCAAAACAAUGUAAUAAAUUA
rnacentral:misc_RNA from 1 species